GAUGAAGAACGUAGCAAAAUGCGAUAAGUAAUGUGAAUUGCAGAAUUCAGUGAAUCAUCGAAUCUUUGAACGCACAUUGCGCCCGCCAGUAUUCCGGCGGGCAUGCCUGUUCGAGCGUCAUUUCAACCCUCAAGCCCUCGGGUUUGGUGUUGGGGAUCGGCGAGCCUUUCUGGCAAGCCGGCCCCGAAAUCUAGUGGCGGUCUCGCUGCAGCCUCCAUUGCGUAGUAGUAAAACCCUCGCAACUGGAACGCGGCGCGGCCAAGCCGUUAAACCCCCAACUUCUGAAUGUUGACCUCGGAUCAGGUAGGAAUACCCGCUGAACUUAAGCAUAUCAAUAAGCGAAGGA
rnacentral:misc_RNA from 1 species